AAUUUGAUUGAAUCAACACGAGCACGAAGAAUCGAACCAAUUUCGUUUUGGGGAGAAAAACUACAUUCCUGCUCGUGAUCUGAAAUCCCCGGUGUUUGAGUUCGAAUUGAGACAUGACUCUUUCGGGAUAGCUUACCAACUCCAUGGAGAUCACGUGUGCAAAGUUUGGGAGCGAUUCCUUUUGAUUUGGUCAAGUUUCGGGUGUUUUCCUCUUUAUUUAUCCUGUCAUCCUUCUCUUCCAGGCUGCGGCAGCGGGUUUCAGGAGGAGGUUCGAAGGGGAGGCGGUGGGGAUCAAGGAGCAGGUGCUCACCAGGCAGCGAUGGAGGAGGCCGCCGCCACCACGAAGACCCUGAACGCGAACGGCGCGUGCCGGCGAGGGAAGCUGCUAUGGUUUCCUGAGCAGCCUGUGGCGGCUAAGAUGGUGGUUGCUGUUGAUGUUGAUGAAGAUCUUGUAAAUGUUGUGCUUGAGAAGCACAAGAGAUAUCCGGCGCUACGAGGUAGAGCAAAAUCCAUCCAUAGAUGAAAAGAAAGAGGGGAUCAGAUCCUUGCCAAGGUGCGACUUCCUGUCCUGCAUUGCCUUUUUCUUCCUUUAUUAGAUGGUGCUUGGGAUUUCCUUGAUGUUCUGUUAUACUUAUGCUCAUCUGGUUGAUGCUAAAACAAUUUUGAACAUCUUGUGAGUUACCAACCUGUUUUGAUGUUUUGGUGAGUUACCAACCUGCUAAAACUAUGGCUGGUUUGCCAUAGUUUCCAAUUCCCAGGGGUUAUGGAUUCAAAUUUCACCCAACACAUGGUUAUAAUCUACUUUCACUAAAUUGAUGUUUCGCUUCUCAUUUGUGUACCCUGAUCUGACAUAAUAUGUAUAGUUCUCUGUUCAUCCUGCAUUUGAGUUGAUGUUGCAGAACCUCUGAACAGCUACAGUUUUUUUUUUUUUUUUUGCAUUUGGAUGCUUCGGACAAGCAGGUUUCACAACUGAAGUUGAACUUCUUGUCAUUUGAGCAUUCGAAGCCACUGGAAUUUUUUUGACAAUGCAAACAACCAAUAUUUGUGGUGGUUCUCCAGACUUAUUGAUCAUUAAGCAUUGCUUGUGCCACUGACUUAUUUAUCAUGGUCCAUUCUGUCGGCCUCCUACCAUUCCUUAUAUGAAUAAAUAUAUCUAUUGUUCCAGAUUAAUUGGAAAUUUACUUGUAAAUGAAGUAUUCCUCUUGGUUUAGCAAUAUGUUAGCAUGAGCUUUUUUGGGAGGUGGUGGGGGCCAUAUGAGCUCUAACCAGUGAUGUAUCAUUAGCAUUUUUUUUCUAAAAUUCUGAACAUUUGCCAGAUGAUCUUUUGAGUUUAUAUUGUGUGACAAUCUCUGGUGCACUGUAGGAAAAUGGAUUGCUUCAUGUUAGGAAGAUGCUCAGCAGCCAUGUUUUCAGAUUCGAACAUGGCUAUGGCCAUGAUGAAGAAGAACCUGUCCAUGAUAGUUCCCCUGGUUCAGGGCUCUGCAAAUUGAGUUAUAUGCAUCAUAUUAAUAGUGCUAUCUAUUUAUAUUAACAUU